rnacentral:rRNA from 1 species
CCUGAUGCAGCCAUGCCGCGUGUAUGAAGAAGGCCUUCGGGUUGUAAAGUACUUUCAGCGGGGAGGAAGGUGUUGUGGUUAAUAACCGCAGCAAUUGACGUUACCCGCAGAAGAAGCACCGGCUAACUCCGUGCCAGCAGCCGCGGUAAUACGGAGGGUGCAAGCGUUAAUCGGAAUUACUGGGCGUAAAGCGCACGCAGGCGGUCUGUCAAGUCGGAUGUGAAAUCCCCGGGCUCAACCUGGGAACUGCAUUCGAAACUGGCAGGCUUGAGUCUUGUAGAGGGGGGUAGAAUUCCAGGUGUAGCGGUGAAAUGCGUAGAGAUCUGGAGGAAUACCGGUGGCGAAGGCGGCCCCCUGGACAAAGACUGACGCUCAGGUGCGAAAGCGUGGGGAGCAAACAGGAUUAGAUACCC